GGGACCCGAUCCUUUGUUCCGUCUGCUUCUAAGAUAGCACGCCUCCCCGCUGCUGGCCUGGCCUGGGAUUUCAGGCCUGGCCUGAAACUUCAUCUGAUGCUAGAAGGAACAAGAGAACCUUACAUUUCCUGGUGAACAUUCUGGGCGAAAAGCAAGUGUCCCGGUCGCAUCUGUGCACAACUGGUCUGCGUUCACGAGAAAGCUGCAGAGCCACAGACAACCAACCCCUCCGACCCCUCUGGUGGAAUGUGUCUCUCUUGGCAUCUGCAAGGUCCAGGGAUGAAAUGAUACUUCAAGGUCGGGGACUUUGCUCACCUGUGCGGGGGCAUUUAUCACUCCCACCGGAGCCUUCCUGGAGAUGCGUUCAGAGAUAAACUCAUUCAGACGUGGCCAUGAAAUCUGAGGCUGGGAAAGUGGGCUUGAAAAGCUCCUCUUAAGGUCUCUUACAUUUCAGGUGAGUCAGAAUUCCAUGAACUUACCGACAGAAGCUCUGAUGACAUGCCCAUGACCUGGGUGAUCCCAGGUCUCCCUGACAUUCUGCCACCCUUUUGGUCCUUCAAGUCACCUGUGGUCCCUAAAAAUGUCUG